AGGCAGCAGUGGGGAAUCUUAGACAAUGGGGGCAACCCUGAUCUAGCGAUGCCGCGUGAGUGAUGAAGGCCUUAGGGUCGUAAAGCUCUUUCGCCUGUGAUGAUAAUGACAGUAGCAGGUAAAGAAACCCCGGCUAACUCCGUGCCAGCAGCCGCGGUAAUACGGAGGGGGUUAGCGUUGUUCGGAAUUACUGGGCGUAAAGCGCACGUAGGCGGAUUAGUCAGUCAGAGGUGAAAUCCCAGGGCUCAACCCUGGAACUGCCUUUGAUACUGCUAGUCUUGAGUUCGAGAGAGGUAAGUGGAAUUCCGAGUGUAGAGGUGAAAUUCGUAGAUAUUCGGAGGAACACCAGUGGCGAAGGCGGCUUACUGGCUCGAUACUGACGCUGAGGUGCGAAAGUGUGGGGAGCAAACAGGAUUAGAUACCCUGGUAGUCCACACCGUAAACGAUGAAUGCCAGUCGUCGGGUAGCAUGCUAUUCGGUGACACACCUAACGGAUUAAGCAUUCCGCCUGGGGAGUACGGUCGCAAGAUUAAAACUCAAAG
rnacentral:rRNA from 1 species